rnacentral:rRNA from 1 species
CUGGCGGCACGCCUAACACAUGCAAGUCGAACGGUAACAUUUCUAGCUUGCUAGAAGAUGACGAGUGGCGGACGGGUGAGUAAUGCUUGGGAACUUGCCUUUGCGAGGGGGAUAACAGUUGGAAACGACUGCUAAUACCGCAUAAUGUCUUCGGACCAAACGGGGCUUCGGCUCCGGCGCAAAGAGAGGCCCAAGUGAGAUUAGCUAGUUGGUAAGGUAACGGCUUACCAAGGCGACGAUCUCUAGCUGUUCUGAGAGGAAGAUCAGCCACACUGGGACUGAGACACGGCCCAGACUCCUACGGGAGGCAGCAGUGGGGAAUAUUGCACAAUGGGGGAAACCCUGAUGCAGCCAUGCCGCGUGUGUGAAGAAGGCCUUCGGGUUGUAAAGCACUUUCAGUUGUGAGGAAAAGUUAGUAGUUAAUACCUGCUAGCCGUGACGUUAACAACAGAAGAAGCACCGGCUAACUCCGUGCCAGCAGCCGCGGUAAUACGGAGGGUGCGAGCGUUAAUCGGAAUUACUGGGCGUAAAGCGCACGCAGGCGGUUUGUUAAGCUAGAUGUGAAAGCCCCGGGCUCAACCUGGGAUGGUCAUUUAGAACUGGCAGACUAGAGUCUUGGAGAGGGGAGUGGAAUUCCAGGUGUAGCGGUGAAAUGCGUAGAUAUCUGGAGGAACAUCAGUGGCGAAGGCGACUCCCUGGCCAAAGACUGACGCUCAUGUGCGAAAGUGU